rnacentral:rRNA from 1 species
UACGUAGGGUGCGAGCGUUGUCCGGAAUUAUCGGGCGUAAAGGGCUCGUAGGCGGUCUGUUGCGUCAGGAGUGAAAACUCGGGGCUUAACCCCGAGCCUGCUUCUGAUACGGGCAGACUAGAGGUAUGCAGGGGGAGAACGGAAUUCCUGGUGUAGCGGUGAAAUGCGCAGAUAUCAGGAGGAACACCGGUGGCGAAGGCGGUUCUCUGGGCAUUACCUGACGCUGAGGAGCGAAAGUGUGGGGAGCGAACAGG